rnacentral:rRNA from 1 species
GUGUCAGCAGCCGCGGUAAGACAGAGGGUGCAAACGUUGUUCGGAAUUACUGGGCGUAAAGCGAGUGUAGGCGGUCUGAAAAGUCGGAUGUGAAAGCCCCGGGCUCAACCCGGGAAGUGCAUUCGAAACUGCCAGGCUAGAGUGUCGGAGAGGUUGGUGGAAUUCUCGGUGUAGAGGUGAAAUUCGUAGAUAUCGAGAGGAACACCGGUGGCGAAGGCGGCCAACUGGACGAACACUGACGCUGAGACUCGAAAGCGUGGGGAGCAAACAGGAUUAGAUACCCUCGUAGUCC